rnacentral:lncRNA from 1 species
GGUUUCCUCUCAAUCUCCUCUCCUCUGUGUUUUCUGUAUUGUCUAGCCUUAGGAAAACAAAUAAGACGCGUAUGAAAAAUAUAAACUGACUCCCACUAACGUCAUGUACAAAACCAAUAGGUAGCGUCAGUUGAAAAAAUCAAAGGCCACAAGGCCAUGUUUGGCUAACCAUUUAUUUCCCAACCAAAUUAUUAUUAUAAUAUUAUAUUAUAUAGUUUCCACUUGUCAUACUUUAUUUAAAUAAUUUUAGUUUAACUAAUUUAAAUAACUAAUAAUAAUAAUAAAAACCUUAUUAUCGUUAUACUUAUAAUUAAUAAAUAAUUAUAUAUAUCUAAUUUAAUUAAUAAAUUAGAAACAUCACUUUAUUUAUUUUAUUUGUUUCCAUUAAAUUAAACAAUUCAUUUAAUUUAAUUAUUUUCUUAAAUAUUAAGCAAUUGAUUUAAUUUAAUUACUUCCUUAAAUUAAAUCCAUUAGAUAAAAUUAUCAUUAUUCAAAUUAAUACUAAUUAAUUUAGUUACCAAAUUAAUUCACCAUAAUUCAUCAAUUAUUUAUUUCCUUCCAUUAAUAAAUUAUUUAAAAUAUUUAUUUAAUUCAAUAAAUAUUUAAAUUAAAUUACAAAUUUCUCGAUCGUUACAGGAAUACUCAAUACUCAGACAAUGACAUUCUCCCCCAAAUCACUCAUGGAUGAAAGGAUUGCAUGAAGGAUAAGGGGGACUUGGUAAUUGGUUGGUGAUUGGCAUCAUUGUGCCCACUCCCUCCAUGAUCAUAGUCUAGCAAAGCUUGGAAGAAAAAUGAAGAACAUAGGCCUAAGCCUUUUGUUCAAACACGUGACUGAGAAUUUAGAAGCAAAUGGGACUCUCAAUUUGGGACAAUCUAAUAUAACUCAGCAUUCUUGUAUACUCUUACACACUCUCACUCUUAUGUUAUAUUUUAAUACACAUAUCAACCAUAUAUUAUAACCUAAUGUCACAAUAUGACUUAACAUUUCAAGGUAGUAGAUGUUAUGCAACAUACAUAUAAUUCAUGUACAUUCUAUUUUAAUGUCUACCCACAUGUAUAUGGCUACUUACACAUUUCAUGAUAUAUUUAUACUAUAUAGUUUCAAUAUGCAUAAUCAUAUUAAUUGCUUCAUUCAUAAAACUUAAUAUAUAGUUACGUAAUGUCACACUACACUAUAUAGUAUAGUUGUAUUAUUGCUCACAUACACAUAACUGUCAAUAUAAUAUUAUUAUAUUAAUAACUUACUUAUUUAUGUCAAGUAAAUAAAUGAUUCCCUUCCUUGAUUAAUUACCACCAAUAUUAAUUAAUCCAUUUAUUAUUGAUGAAAUUAUGGAUUUUCAUAACCAUUAACUAUCGAUGAAAUUCUUAUUAUAUUUAUAGAUAUAUUGCAAAUAAUAAUAAUCAUAUUAUAAAUUAAUUACCAAGUAAUCAAUAUUCUACCGCAAUUAAUUAAUAUUAAUUAAUGGUUUACCAAUUCCGUUGUCGGACACAACAUACUUUAUUUCAUUGAAAUACACUCCUAUCAUAUGGUUUUAUUUAUGUCACACAUAUAACAUUAAUGUCCCAAUACAGUGCUACAGUAGAAAGUAACCAACUCCAACUGACUACUGGCGCAGCUGCGCCAGUUUGUACUACUGGAACGGCGCAGCUGCGUCGUGCCCUGACAGUGCCAAGACUAGUUUAGCUUCAGCUCGUGUCAAUCUUCAUCGCCAAACUCGUUAUAUAUGACAUGAAUUGAUGUCCACAAAGUGUUACUAUAAGUUUACGAGCGUAUUUGAUUACUUAUAUGAUAUCACACGUUCAACGCGAUUAUACUUCCAAAUUCCCAUUUUAAUUUGCUUAAUGGAUUUCCUCGUUUCAUGAUAUGUCACACAAGGCAUUCCACAAUCCUCAUUAUCAAAUCACGCUUCUUAAUACGCAUUGACCUAGCACGAAUCAAUUGUAUUAACCAACUCAUAAAACAAUAACACUUAUAUUCACAUAAAUAGUAUUUCCAUUAAUAUAUUCAUUUUAUAAUACGUAGAAAUUCUCGGGUAUUACAUCCUCCCCCACCCCUUAUAAAAAUUUCGUCCCGGAAUUGCUACAAGGUUAUACAAAUAGAUGGGGAUAAUCCCUCAUCAUCCUAUCUUCUAACUCCCACAUAGCCUCCUCGACAUCGUGGUUAUGCCAAAGUACUUUUACAGAAGAAAUGACUUAAUUUCUCAAGUUUUGUUCUUUCCUAUCAAGAAUUUGGACAGAAAUUUCUUUGUACGCUAAAUUCUUCUCCACUUGAAUGGGUUCAUAAGAAAUCAUGUGCUUGUAGUCAGGCUUGUACAGACACAACACGGAUAUAUGAAACACGUUAUGGAUGUGCUCCAACUCAGAUGGUAGUGCAACUUUGUAUGCUACUUCGCCCACUCGCUUUAGUAUCUCGAACGGCCCUAUGAAUCUUGGACUCAGUUUCCCUUUCUUGCUGAAAUAGAUCCUUCCAUGGAGAUACCUUCAAGAAUACAAAACUGCCGAUUUCAAAAUCUCGGUCUUGCCGAUGCAAAGCUGCAUACUUCUUCUGACGAUCUUGAGCUGCCACUAGUCUAGCCCUUAUCACUGUCACCACAUCCGCGGUUUGUUGUACUAACUCUGGUCCGAGUAUUCGUCGUUCCCCGACUUCAUCCCAACAUAAUGGCGUUCUGCACUUCCUCCUGUAAAGAGCUUAGUACAGUGGCAUGACGAUACUCGUAUGGUAACUAUUAUUAUACGCAAAUUCAACUAAGGGUAGGUGGUCGUCCCAAUUCCCCUUGAAGUCCAUCACACAAGUUCUAAGCAUAUCCUCUAGCGUUCGUAUUGUUCGCUCACUUUGUCCGUCUGUCUGAGGAUGAUAAGCAGUACUUAACCUUAACUGUGUUCCCAUCCUCUCUUGCAAGCUUUUUUAGAAUUUUAACGUGAAACGCGGGUCUCGGUCAGAAACAAUCGAUACCAGCACUCCAUGUCGUGAAACAAUCUCCUUUACGUACAGACUCGCUAACUGAUUCAAACAGUAGCGGAUCUUGAUCGGUAGAAAAUGUGCUGUAACGCCCCCCAAAAUCGGGACUAUUUUCCUUCCCGAUCUUGUGCGUUAAUAUUAUCCUGUUCUAGCUUUAAAACAUUAUUUAAUGUUAAAAUAGUUAAAAAUGCGGAAUAAUUUUUUUUUCUUUCUUUCCAUUCAUUCAUUCCCUAAAUCGCAACCUUUACAAUUCUUCUUUAUACUAGAAUCAUAUUUAUUACAUGAUUUAUUUAACCUGAGUAGAUAUGGAUAUAUGUACAAUUCAUUAUUUCAAACAUAUUCCUAAUUCAGAACAAAUGAUCUUCAUCUAUUGAAUUAUUCAAAGAUUUACUUCUUUGUGGUUUACACAUGUAAAUACCAUCAAAUGAUUCAACACCAUCUCAAUUAAAUCACUAGUCUUCUUUUCAUGCGCUCCUAAUCACGAUCAUAGCUUUAACCUGCAAAUUAAGCAAGAUUGAGCACGGCGGCCCAGCAAGUCUAACAGUCUAUCAUGCAUCACAUAUCACAUAUGUUCACAUUCAGUUCAUGCAUUUAUAUUCUUGGGGUUCAAGCAUAUUACAAAUGCAUCAUCACAUUUAUAUCCUGCUGGUAGCAACAUAAAUAUCAUAGCAUACUACACAUGUCAUGUACAUGUCAUUCAUUGCACAUAUAUAUUGAGUUCCCCGACUCAAUUCAAUAAUUAGUCAUAAUUUGACAUUCAUCAUUCACAAAGCAAAUAAUGUAGUUCAUAGGUAUUACAUACUUAUAAACAUAAAUCAUACUAACAGUUAAUCAUAGCAAUUAUAAGUUCACAUAAAUAAACUGAGAAACUUGCCUUGUUCAAUGACUAUUGAUACAAACUUUAGUUUAACUUCACUUCACGAAUCCUACACAGUUAUGUUCACAUGUAUGCAUACAUUAGUCACACAUUCAUAUCCCAUAACCUGUAUAGCUAACAAACAUUCACAAAAACUAUAUCAAUAUCUGAUAUUCUUAUUUCUGAGAAACUUCCAUAUUCCUUUAAAAUAUUUUAGGUUUCGACUUAAUAUAGCCAUACAUUCUCAAAAAGUUCUAACACAACUUUUAAAAUGUCAAUUCAUUACAUUUACAAUUUAUAACCCUUUUUAAAAGUAUUUACAGACUUUACACGCAUUUAUAUGUAGACUUGUUGUCAUAUAGUGCAUCUGUGCCUUUACUAUGCGUAAUUAUGGCUUAUUUCCGCUUUUGUGAGUAAUUUAAAUGCUAUUCCAUACGAAUAUUAGUUUUCUAGGCUUAAUGCAUUCAUAAUACAUUACUUUUCCCCCUUUCAUGUACACAUGAGGUAUAUAUAUGCUUUUGCAUAUACGCCUCUCUUCUAAUGUCAAACCUUGCCUCAUUUGCUUGGCUUGUAGGGUAGACAUAUGCUAUGUGUAUGUCUUUUACCUACACAUAGCUUAUUUAUGUCAAAAGUUGAGUUUUCAACUCCGUUUGCAUAAUCAUCGCCUUGUAUUUUGAAAACCGUUUAGUUUCAAGUACAAUUUUAAAAUAACUUUGCACACUGUCCACGUAUUCCUGAUAUAUGGAUAUAUUAUCCAUAUAUAUGUAAACUCAUGUUUACAUAUCGUUUUUAUAGAUUUUGGAAUGCUCUGAAUGCAUAUACUUGUCAUAUGGUUGUUAGACUGUGUUUUAUAUCUGUCUUGGGGCAUCAGGACAUGCCUAACUUCUUUUUCCAACUUUUAAUAAUUAUAAUUACAUAUAAAAACAUAUUAGUUGUGCGUCCAUGUCAUAUAACCUGUAUAGUUAUAUAUAUUACAUUUCCAUAUUGGCCAUAUCAAUAGCUUUCAUUCUUGUUUUUGAAAAACUCUUAUAUUCUCUUCAAAAACUUUUAUUCUUUUACUUACGAUAGUCAUUUAUCGCUUAAUAGUCUUUGACAUGGCUUUUAAAUAUUCUAUGAUUUUGGUUUAUAAACCAUUUGUAAUUUAUUACAUAGUUAUCUCGCACUUUUAUACAUAUUCUAAGUAUAUAAAGUGAACUUGUAGUUUCCUUUAUACUUUGAGCAUAGAUAUAGUCUAUAUAGAUAAAUUAUAGCUUCCAUACUAUUUUAUAGACUCAUUUCCAUAAACUAUCGCAUUAAAAACCACCGCGUUUCAUUGGAACGCCGAAACAGCCCAUUGACCCAAUAAUGCCGACAACCAAGCCUUACUUGAUUGGGCAGCCCCAAGCUCACGACACCUACCUUUACUAAUUUUUUUAUCUUCUAAACUACCAACUCAAUUGUAUUGAAUUGUAAAUACUUUAUAACUCAUGUACUUGUUUCUUUAGGAAUUUAGAAACUAAAAUUGAUGGAUGAUUUAUCCACUUAAAUCGCAAAAGCCAAAAUAGCUCAUCAAAUAGCCACAACUGAUGUGUUACAGCUGACUGCUGCUGCCGUUGGGCAGCAGCUCCCUCCUUCUUGACUCUCGUUUCGCUAAUUUCUAUCCUCCGUUAAUGAUCCGUUUAUAUUGAAGUUUGGAUGUAAUAUAGGUGGUAUACCCACCUAUUUUAGAAAAAUACUGACUGUAUGAUUUGAGCAACUAAACAACGAAAGAACAAGCUAAAACAAUCCCAGCAAAUUGCAGCAGCACGGCGUAGCACCGUGCGCGCGCACCUGCACAUAGCUGCUGAUGGGCUGCCUUGCAGUCUUCAUGACUAACACAACCCCUUUGCGAUUUUAUUAUGUCCAGCUCGCACGUCGGAUAGCUACCAAAUUUUAAUAUGAUUUAGAUUCCAUAGAAGGCUAUUUUUAAAAAAUACGAGUCCCCCAUUUCAGACUCUUUAAGCUGCUCAAAACAGACUCCAAAACUGGCUUGACACACUAGUUUUUAAUUUUUUCCAGCUUUACCCUCUCUCGCUAAAAUAGUCAUAACUAAUUCGUUUUAAAACAUUUUUGAGUGAUUCUUGCGCCCACGCGAAGCUAACUUCCGGGGCUACGACUCUUAUUCAAUAAACUUUUCCAUGUUCUGCACCCAUAAUUCCAGAAAAUCCGCGCAAGGGACAGGUUCAAACCUGAUUUCUAAAUUUUGGACAGAUUCGACACACUCACUUUGGAAUGCCAUAACUCCCUCCUCCGAAGUCGGAAUUAUUCCGUUUCGGAGUCUAUGGAAAGCUUAUUCAACGUACUAUAAUACCCCAAAAGCCCAGAAUUUUCUGGAAACUCUAGCUAGCCCCGAAUUUGUCCUUAGGGUCAACAGUUCACAAUUUUUUUCGGUUUCUAACAUGUUUUACUAAAGCCUUUACUAUAAAUUCGUUUUAGUUCCUUUUUGAUUCAUUCCAAUUGGAUUAUUUCCAGAACUCGUAGGAGCACAACCCACCAUUAUAAAACUUAAAUUUUCAAUUCUAUACCCUCAUAAACUUUGGCUCAAGAACAGCCCCCUAAAACAGUUUUAACUAAUUUGUUUUACAUGUUUUACUAAGAAAUCCGUCAAGAUUUCGUUACAACGGAUUUUUCCCUCGUUCCAAUUGGGUUGUGUUCAUAACUCAUAAGAGUACCACACAUUAUCCCAGAACUUAAUUUUUCAGUUUCAGAGCGCAACACAAAUUGGUCCAAAAUAGUCCACUAGUUGUCCAAUUUAAGCUUAUUAGUCUCUAAGAGGCCUUAAAGCAAACACCAUAUGUGCAUCAGUUUUAGAAACAAGUUUCACACGUUUGUACAUGGUUUUACCCCAAAAAUUUCUUUCUUUAUAAUUCCUAAUGACCUGCAUAAAGUCCCUUAACCAACACAGCUCAACCAAAACCAACAUAACAGUUUUAUCAUCAUUCACAUAUGUAUUUACUAACUUCAUAUAAAUAUAGCAUGAACAUAUGGCUUACCUUGCUUACUUAAUGUUCAUGUUGAAAUUCUAGCUUUGAUGAUCAAUUAUAGAAAUCCUUUUAUUGCUAUGUGCUUCAGUUCUUCUUCAAGUCAGUACAACACUUCAAUUCCUUGCUAAUUUCGUUGGGUCUAGCCAAAAUUGAGAGAAAUUUGGUGAAGGUUUGAGAAUUGUGCAAACUUAAUAGUUAGAGAAAAAGAGAGAUGAACUGGAACGAAUUGAAGAGGGAAUGAGGACUGCAAAUAGUUUUUUUUGAGUGUUUAACUCUUUCUAACUUCCUUGCUCUCCUCUCUCUUUCUCCCAUUCACGACAACAAGAAGGGAGGAGAAAGAUAAAUAACGCCCAGCUUGGUCACCAAGCUUGCAA